GCUAACAUUUUACUGCUGCUUAUCAUUGUCCUGCUUUUGGAUUCAAGGUUGUUCAUCAUUUUCAAUACCUUAAUUGGUGACUUUACCAAAAAAAAAAAAAAAAAUCUUAAUCGGUGUACCACAUAUAAACGAGGUUUCAGGAGGAAACUAUAUAUUAAUUAGAUUGAAUGUACGAGCCCAGUGGGAGGCUGAUACUACCGAAGCGAGUCAUGCAAUUUAAGCAUUCCUGGG
rnacentral:lncRNA from 1 species